ACAAAGGCUCUUUUCAGAGCCACCUAACCUUUCCUAACAAGGGCUU
rfam:Mus musculus chromosome 13, GRC primary reference assembly.